rnacentral:rRNA from 1 species
UUGGACCUGUAUACCACCCUGAACACGCCCGAUCUCAUCUGAUCUCGGAAGCUAAGCAAGGUUUCCUACUUAGAACAAAAUGGCCCAGC